UCCAGCCUUUAGAGGACCCAAACAAAACCAUGGCUCCCCUGUCUGUUACCCUGCAGCCGCUAUUAAGUCUGAAUCGGUUUCAACUAAAAUAAUUGCCCAUAUCCUGACAGAGGUUGUUCUGGGAGGAGACUGUGCUUACAUGUCUUUGUCUCUGGUUUGCACGCGGUUCGGGGACAUUGUAGGCACUCUUGAGUUUCAAGCAUGGGCUCACUUCUUAUGGCUUGACAGUGAGACAUUAUUUUUAUUUUGACAGUAAGACAACCAAUAAGAACAUGAAGUUAAUCUUGUACUGUGUAGUUGUUGCACAUUUUCCAUAGCAUGGGAAGUGGGUUGUGGAGAUGGCGUUAGGUGUUUAGUACAUCAACAUUAACUUUGUAUUUCUACACAGGUGUUAUCACAUUGAAUUUCUAUACAGAAAAAUACCGUUCAGAAUUCAGAACCAUGUGCAGCAUUUGCAACAUGCCUUACAAAGACUGCAAAUCGGGUUGGAGAUAGGAGAUGGGGAAUCCUGCGGGAUUUUAUUCUGAUUCCCAUCUAGGAUUCUGCAGCACAUUCUGUGCCCUGUGUGCCGAGUUCUAAAAAGACUAAUAAAGUGAUGUUUGUC
ensembl:lncRNA